rnacentral:siRNA from 1 species
AUGCAUUGAAAGUGACUA